ensembl:lncRNA
GUGGCAUCAACCUACCAUUCUCUCUGCUCUGAAAGUGGCUCCACUGAAAUCCUUCUGUUGGAGUGAGUGAGUCAUACAUCAAACUUAAUCAUUGGGCCUCAGAAAAUGGACAAGAACUGUAAAACACAUACGACGGGAAUGAUUUGACCUCACUAAUUACGAGGAGGAAGCUCGGCGCAGGUGUCUUCCUGUAGUUAACGGCAAUACUCCUGAGAACUGAGUGCACUGCAAGUUACAGUGUGUUUCUACUCAAAAGACAGUUCACCUUGUGCACCUGUGUCCUGACUCUGCUGGAAAAAAAGAAAACACAAGCUGUGGAGUAGCAACCAUGGCAAGAGGAAAGCCAGAUGUUUAUUUCAACUCUAUGGACCAACUGUUACGAGGUCAUUUUUCUUGCCUGGGGUUGAUCUUCUUAUCUGCUAAAUGAAAUCAAAGAUCCAGAUAUGCUGCCUAGUGGAAGAGCUUGCUUAGGAAGGAAGCCAAAUUGAGUGGUGUCUUCUCUCCACUUUCUCCAGUACUAGAUUAAUGGAUAACAUGGCAGCGAAAUAGCAAUUGGAAUGAAGAAAUCUCGUUCAAUAGGGAAGGAGUAGUUUUCUCUUGUUUUGGGUGAUGGAUGGAAGAGUAAAAUGAACCAACUCGUGGAAUGUGAUUCCUUCCUCUUUGAGCUGUCUCCACAAUGGAGGAGAGACUCAGAACAACACUGCUCUGACCAAGGCACUUUGUCAAGUCAAGGGGAUAAAGAUGAAUGAGAAAUAUCCGUGCUCAAGAGGCAAAUUGUUUCAUCAAAGAAUUGGAACUAGCCACGGCAACGUCUCCAGCAAAUGGAACCAUGUGGUAUGGGUGCUAAGGUGCCGGGUGCACCAGGAUGAAAAGCCCCCCAUCUGGAGGGGCAUCCAAAGAGGGCCGCAGGACUCUCUGGAGGAGGAAAGCUGAGCCACGACUUGAAGCUGAGGAGUAGGUUAAGGCUUAGAGGAAGAGAGCACAAUGGCAAAGACACAGAGCCAAGAACCACAACCUGUGCGAGUGAGUAGACCUUGCUGUUAGAGCCUAAAUCAUUCAAGGGGAAGCAGUAGAUGAGGCUAGAUGAACAGGUUGGGUCAGGCUGGGGAGGUCCUUGUGUGCCUUCUGGGGGCAACUGAUGAAGUCCAUAGAGGGGCAUGCCUCACUGGAUUUGCAUUUUGAAAAAUGAAUAUUGCUGGUGGUUUUGUGAAAGCUGAAUUUCAAAGGGAAAACACUGGAGUUGUAGUCCGAGUGAAGAAGGCUUGGAUUUCAGUAGCAUAGUGAGGGAAGAGGUAAUAUGUUUCACCUAUAAUAUUAGGUGGUAAAAUUAGGAGGUCCUGGUAAUUGACUAGAUGUUGGGUAAGAGAGAGUAAUAAUAAUAAUACUAACAAUGGCAGCUCAUAUUAUUUGUAGUUUUCUUUAAGCUUCAGCAUAAGUGGGAUGAGUGAGACAAUGCAUUUGUCCCUUUAUUCAUUCAUUUACUUAUCUGUCUGUUCAUUUGUUUUGUCUUUUAGAACUUAUGACCUAAUGAGGGAGAGAGAGAAGUGAAACAAUGAUUACAAUAUAUUUAAAAUUAUAAUACAUUUAUACUAGGGCACUGAAGGAUCUCAGAGAAGUAACUCUGACAUAACAGAUGUUUUCAAAUAUUCUACAUACUAUCUCAUUUAAUAAGUAAACAUUAUUAUAUCAUCAUGGCAAUUGGCAUUUGCUUAAGCAAAUAACAUAGACAAUUGUCAUUAUUUAAAUGAAAAAGAAUUAAAUGUUGAUAACGGUUGAAAUAAAUGUUCAUCUAGAGGUGACCUAUAUGCUAAAGUUUCAAACUUACUUGCUUCUUUGCAACUCAGACAAACGCCUGCUUGCACACAUGCCUAGGAGAUUUAUCUUUGUCACCAAUGUCCCAUCAGACAUUUGAGGAGUUUCAUCAAUGUCAGCCAAGAACCAUUUGUAACAUUGAAUGAGUACAACUUUGAAGCUAUACCUCAUGUAAUUCAGUUUUUGCCGAGCUGGAAAUGUGCACAGGAUAGAUGGCAGAGCUCUAUUAUGGGAUGAACAGGGUGACUGCAAACAGGGCAGGAAAGAAAUUCUCUGAGGACGUCUGGAAGCCAAUUGCCUGCAAUGCAGCACAGCUCUCGGCUGCUAUGAAACAAACGAGGCCAACAAAUCAACCUCAGGAAGAUUAGCCCUGAGCUAACAUCUGCUGCCAAUCCUCCUCUUUUUGCUGAGGAAGACUGGCCCUGAGCUAACAUCCAUGCCCAUCUUCCUCUACUUUAUACGUGGGACGCCUACCACAGCAUGGCUUGCCAAGUGGUGCCAUGUCCACACCUGGGAUCCGAACCUGCGAACCCCACCCCUGGGCCACUGAAGCAGAACAUGUGCACUUAACCGCUGUGCCACUGGGCCGGCCCUGUCAAGAUCUUUAAAACUAUAGAAAUAUCUCCUGGGGUUUCUUUCAUUAAACAAAUAAUAAAACAUUGUGAUGUAAUUAGCACCAUACUUGACGAGUUCCUGUUUGACUUCUCGCUCACUGUGCUUCAUUGGGCUCUUCUUUGAGUGGACCCCCAUACAGACUGAUGAGGUCACAGCAGAAGCAACUCAAAAGCAAUUCUGCAGAGGGCUAUCAUGGUGUCAGUGAGGUUCCGAGAUCUUUACUGAUCCUUUGUCGAUCCACUGCCUUUUUUGUUAAGAAAUAUCUGGAAGAAUGAAUAGACCAGAUAUCCUCUGAGAAAACUGUCUUGAAUAAAAACUUUUCUUGACUGAAUUCUGAAGGCUCAUAGGUCACAUUUGUACAUUUUCAUGCUGCCUUGGCAGAAAUUGGGGCAUGAGCAUAAUUGCUCUGUCUUCAUGGAAGCUGAGGAACUCACCAAGGACACAGCCUAGUUAGAAAAUCAUCCCAUAUUUGUUUGAGAUGAUCUGAUAACUAGUCUUCUAACUAGGCCAGGAUCCUGCUUAAAUGCUUAUUUUCAAUUUGCUUUAGUGAAUAGCUAAAUAGGUGGCAAAGGUCCAAAGAUUUUAGUCUAUAUGGCAUGGAUAAAAUAGUUUUAGCUUGAAAACACUUCAAAA